GACGAACGCUGGCGGCGUGCCUAAUACAUGCAAGUCGAACGCAUUCUCUCUCAACGUAGCUUGCUACACCGAAAGAAAGUGAGUGGCGAAGGGGUGAGUAACACGUGGGUAACCUGCCAAUCAGCCGGGUAUAACACACGCACACAGGUGCUAAUACCGCAUAAUUCCAUUUACCGCAUGGUAGAUGGCUGCAAGUCGCUUUUGCGUCACUGAUGGAUGGACCCGCGGUGCAUUAGCUAGGGGGUGGGGUGACGUCCUACCAAGGCUUCGAUGCAUAGCGGCCCUGCGAGGGUGAGCGGACACACUGGGACGGGGAGACGACCCAGAAGCCUGGGGGAGGCAGCAGUAGGGAAUCUUCGGCGAUGGACGCAAUGCGGACCGAGCAACGCUGCGUGAGUGAAGAAGGUUGUCGUGUUGUAAAACUCUGUUGGUAGUGAAGAAUAAGGAUGAGAGUGGAAAGUGCAUCCCUUGACGGUAGCGAACGAGAAAGCCACGGCUAACUUCGUG
rnacentral:rRNA from 1 species